GGAUGAAUGCUGGCGGCGUGCCUAAUACAUGCAAGUCGAACGAGGAGCCUCAGCACUUGUAUUCGUACUCGUGCAGGGGAUUUCCUAGUGGCGAACGGGUGAGUAACGCGUUGGUGACCUGCCCCAAAGAGAGGAAUAACAGUUCGAAAGGACUGCUAAUACCUCAUGUGGUCAUGGGAUUUAGAACCCCAUGUCUAAAGGAGUAAUCCACUUUGGGAGGGACCUGCGUCCCAUCAGCUAGUUGGUAGGGUAACGGCCUACCAAGGCAACGACGGGUAGGGGACCUGAGAGGGUGGCCCCCCACAAUGGAACUGAAACACGGUCCAUACACCUACGGGUGGCAGCAGUAGGGAAUAUUGCACAAUGGGCGAAAGCCUGAUGCAGCAACGCCGCGUGUGCGAUGAAGGCCUUCGGGUCGUAAAGCACUUUUUGAGAGGAUGAGAAAGGACAGUACUCUCAGAAUAAGUCUCGGCUAACUACGUGCCAGCAGCCGCGGUAAAACGUAGGAGGCGAGCGUUAUCCGGAUUCACUGGGCGUAAAGCGCGUGCAGGCGGUUUGGUAAGUUGGGCGUGAAAUCUCCCGGCUCAACUGGGAGAGGUCGUUCAAAACUGCCAAACUAGAGGACGGUAGAGGAAGGUGGAAUUCCAGGUGUAGUGGUGAAAUGCGUAGAUAUCUGGAGGAACACCUGUGGCGAAGGCGGCCUUCUGGCCCGCUCCUGACACUAAGACGCGAAAGCUAGGGGAGAGAACGGGAUUAGAAACCCCGGUAGUCCUAGCCGUAAACGAUGUCAACUAGGCGUUGGUGGGUUAAUAGCCAUCAGUGCCGCAGCUAACGCGAUAAGUUGACCGCCUGGGGACUACGGCCGCAAGGUUAAAACUCAAAGGAAUUGACGGGGGCCCGCACAAGCAGCGGAGCGUGUGGUUUAAUUCGAUGCUACGCGAAGAACCUUACCUGGGCUUGACAUGUCGAUGAACGAUUGCGAAAGCAUGAGGCUCCCUUCGGGGACAUCGUCACAGGUGUUGCAUGGCUGUCGUCAGCUCGUGUCGUGAGAUGUUGGGUUAAGUCCCGUAACGAGCGCAACCCUUAUCCUUAUUUGCCAGCACAUCAUGGUGGGAACUAUAAGGAGACUGCCGGUGAUAAACCGGAGGAAGGCGGGGACGACGUCAAGUCAUCAUGGCCCUUACGACCAGGGCUACACACGUGUUACAAUGGGAAGGACAAAGGGUUGCUAAACCGCGAGGUGGUGCUAAUCUCACAAAUCUUUUCGUAGUCCGGAUCGGAGUCUGCAACUCGACUCCGUGAAGUCGGAAUCGCUAGUAAUCGUAGAUCAGAACGCUACGGUGAAUACGUUCCCGGGUCUUGUACACACCGC
rnacentral:rRNA from 1 species